UUAACCUGUAUUCAAUCACGACCACUAGAUGCCAUGAUAUGUUUUUAUUUUAAUUUUUUAUACCAGCCGAUAGAGGGUUGAGGUUGAGGCAGGGAAACUCGCCAAGUAAAGCAAAGUUCCCAUUUCUUUCCAAUACGCCAAGCUGAGAGGGUAUCUGAGAGGGAGCUUUGAAUUAUCAAAGCUAAUUUUAAAUUUUUAUUGCAUAUCCCCCCCUGCCUUAAAAGAGAGCAAUGAUUCAAUCUCUGGUCGUGGUUAAAUUACAUUUAUUUUUGAUUUACAGAUCAAUAGAAAAAGAGAGAAGGAAACAGAUAGAGACACAGCAAUUUUUUUACAAACAGAGAGACACAUAAAUUUUUGAAAUUUCUUCGACUUUUAACUUUUUUUCGACUUUUCUCCUUUUCUUUCGGCAUCCAAAUUUUUCUCCAUUGACAUUCUAAUCCUCAUCCUCGCUGUCCGAGAAUAAAUCCGAGAAAGCGUUCGAAAGAUCGCUAUCUUCGUCCGAGGUGUUGUUGUUCCUCGCCUCCAAUGCCAACUUGGCCUUUUUGGCUUUCUUCUUUCGAAGACUCUUCUUUCGUUUGUGUUCACGUUCAACUGUCUUUUUUUAUACGAUAUGAUACACAUUUAGGCUUGAUUUCUUGCCGUCUUCAUAUCUAAGAUUGAAAAUGUCGAUUAGUGUAAAAUUUUUAAUCAAAACCGUUUUGACACUUACAAUACGACAGAGGCCGUCAGUUCUUCUCCCAGGCGUCCUACGUUUCCGCCCUUCGAAUCCUCUACAAUGACAGCUCCGCAACAGUCACGGUAAGUCUCUUUUUUUUACUCUAACUUUUUCUGACACUAUGAACAACAUUUGAAACAUGGAGAGCCAAGAAAGAAAAGGACCCAUUGGGAAAAUUGUAUUUGAAAAUUAACCAAUAAAGAUAAGAUAAAGAAAAUUAUGUUGCCGAACGCUCGCCUCUAGAAUAUGGGUUAAACUCACGGAGUAAGGGGUAAUGGUGGACGAGGGGUUGGAUAACACACGGGGUUGAUGGGGCCUUUGGCCAUCCUGCCGCGUCAAAGACCACGCACGGGGAAGCGAACGUCGGGCUCACAUAAUUUACUUACGGGGUAUUUAGUGCUGCUUCCGCUUCCUCCAAAACAGGGUGGACGGCUUCUAAUUUUUGCUCGGCCACGGUUUUGUCAGCCGCAAUGACGUCGACCAGCUGAUGUGCUCGAUCUUUGGCCAGCAAGACGUGAUUUUUGGUCGUUUCAGCUUCACGGGCUCUAUGCGUUUCAACUUCAACCUAAAGCGAAAAGUGAGAGUCUCUUUUUUUUAAGAGUUUCAUUGAUUCUUUGGACCGAUCGGACGUUUCAUUGAGAUUCUUGUUAGUUAUCCCACUGAGCCUGCAACGUACGGCUUGAACAGGCAGAAUCAAAAGCCUUUUGUAACAAAUAAUAAAAUACUUAGUAUCUAAGGAGUUUUAGAAACCAUUACACCAUACCUUUCAGGUAGCUUGAAACAUUCGGAAAAGUCUGCAUUGAAACGGUGUCCUGUAAUUUUUCGAUUGAAGAGAGAAGUUUUCAAUGUCAAGGCUUUUUCAAUUUGUCUAUUUGACGGACGUCAACGACGACGACGACAAACGUCAAGUUGGAGUCCGUAAAUCUAGAUGGCUAAAAAACACAAUAAUGGUCUUCAUUUUUUUUUCCUUCUACAGACUGAUAUUUUUUGACAUCUGAAUUGUUUCGACUCAUCCUCUUAAACUCUUCUCUUGAAUUUCUCUGCAUUGCUCUGCUCUGCCCCAUAGGCAUCUACUCGUCAUCCUCGUCGAGGCUACAAUCCGAGAAAGCGCUCGAAAGGUCGCUGUCCUCGUCCGAGGUGUUGUUGUUCGCCUCCAAAGCCAACUUGGCCUUUAUGGCUUUCUUGGUACGGUUGGCCUUCUUUCUUUUGCGUUCUCUUUCUUCUGGGUUUUUAAUUAAAAAAAUUAUUAAUUAAUUAUUUUUUAACUUGGUGUGGUGGGGUUCAAAUGUGGCUUUCUCUCUUGCACCAGCUAAUGCACCUAUUAGUACUUCUACAUCAGGUUUUCACUAAAGACGAAAUUAUGUAAACGAAAUGUCGUGGUUAAAUGACAUUUAUUGCAUCGAUACAUGGAAAAAGAGAGAAGGUAACAGAAAGACACAGACAUUUUUGAAACACACACACACACAUAUAUAGGCACUGUAAUAUGACAUCUGAAUUUUUCGACUCUCUUUUCUUGAAUUUCUCCUCAUUGCUUUUCUCUUCUCCAUAGGCAUUUACUCGUCGUCAUCCUCGUCGAGGCUGCAAUCAGAAAAAGCGCUCGACAGGUCGCUGUCCUCGUCCGAGUUUGCCUCCAAAGCCAACUUGGCCUUUUUGGCUUCCUUGAUUCUCCAGAAUCAACACUGGUGUCGUUUCCAGAACCAACAUCAGGAACUCCACAAGAAUCUGACUCCCCUUCAGAGGAUUCCACAACGGGGGUCACAUCUUCUUCGUCAGAUGCUUUAUCAUCUGAGGCUACUGAAGUGUUGAUGCUGGGCGAUCCGGAACUCAUCAAGGUGAAGAAAGGUGACAUAAUUCAGCUCCAGAGACGUGGAUUUUUUAUUUGUGAUUCUCCUUAUGAGCCGAUCAGGUCAAAACUUUAUAAUGCAAAAGAGAUUUCAAGCUCGGCCAUGCUAUCAUCAGUUUCUUCUUGAGAGCCUGGGUUUACCUCAUGAGUAAAAUUCUCAGCAACAAAAUCGUCACCUGCAGAAUUUUUGGUAAAAUUUUAACACUUAUGACUUACUUAUAACAUCUUAAAACUAACCAUAGUGAUAAUCCAAGUCCUCCGUUUCAUCCCCCCAAUCUUGUUGAUGGAACAAACUUUAAAUUGUUUUAAAGGUAAAUUUGGACUUACAAUCCACAUUCGUAAUAAGUGUGAGUAUGUAUUGUCAUCCAUUUUAUGGUAUUUCUAUUCCAACAAGUUUUCAAUUCAACUGAAUUCAGGAAAGAAAUCAAACAAUUCAGUUUUAGACUUAGUCAAGGCUUUUAUCGGUGAUAAUUUGUCUAUUUGACGGACUACCCCAACGUCAAGUUGGAGUCCUUAAAUCUAGAUAGCUUUGGGGUACGAAUGGGCUUCACUCUCUGUCGUCUGCAAUGUUAGCGGUGGGUUUUUAUCAUUGGAAAAAUCAUAACUUUGAACGUCAUACAUUGUUUGUGUUCUAUCACAGACUAAGGUUCUAGUUAGUUCCAUGUACACCUGAAAAGUUAAAAUUGUUCAGCUAUGGCAGAUUCAGGAAAUAAUUCUAGAGGUAAAGAAAGAGGUGGGUUUCGUGUUAGAGGCAAUAACAACUGGUCACGUAUCGUUGUCUGCAUGGCCAAUCCCCCCCCUUACUUGUCUCGUCACAUUGUUCCAUAUUUACCUGGUCGUUCUUUGUGGUCUGAUAACCUUGCUCGCAUUAUUGUCUCUCCAAACCUAAACUUGCCAACUAUGGUCAGAGAGCUUUAUCACAGGCUGCACCUCGACUGUGGAAUGAUCUUCCAGCAUUAAUCUGUCUUGUCCCUAACUUUCCCGUGUUCAAGAGUCUUCGUCUUAAGACCCACUUGUAUGCCACUGCUUAUCUCUGAUUAUUUCAUGUCCAAUUGUGUGGUGGAGAAUAGAAUAGAAUAGAAUAGCUUCCCUCUGUGACUAUCAUCUUCAACUUGUGGCUCACCAUCAUCUGUAAUUAAAGGCAAGUUUAAUGUAGAUGGCUUUUAUUUCCAUAUAAAAUUUGAUUUUCCUGAAACGGCUGCCUCUACACUCUGUGCAAACUCUGUAAAGGUACUACAUUGUUUUCAUUGAAUAAUUUUAUUGUUUUAUUGUUAGUAGUGGCACACAUAGCUACCUUCUGCCAAGUAGUGAACAAAUGUCUCGUUCAAUUUAUUUAUUUCUUAAAAUUCUGUUAAAAAUUGAAGGUUCCAAAUAAUUGUGAUUACUUUUUCGAAAUUCUCCCUCGAGUCAGACCAGUCAGAAUCGCAGAGAUUCGUCAAUGGAUGAUGUUGGCUUGAACCGGACAAGAAGAUGAAAAAUGAAUGGAUGAAGAAAAUUUUACCUGAUCGCGAUACGAUGGAAAGUAUGAAAGAAUCCCGUUAAUUCCCGUAGACGAUUAUUUUUCUGAUAUAUGGCAGGAGGAAUUUGAUUUGAGAUUUAAUGGCCAUUAACUCUAAUUAGUGUUUAUUUUUAUUAAUGAAUCAACAAACAGCUAACCCAAAUUUGUUUCAGGGUCUACAAAUGCUAUGGAAUGUAAGGAGUUUGUCUUUUGUGAAAAGGGGUUACAGGAGGGUGGGGGGUAAAAAAAUUUGGGUUACGUCAUUUAUGGAUGGUCUCUCCUGUAAUUUUUUCGGGCUAAAUAAGCUCCCAUAAUUAUAAUUAUAAAGGAUUGACAAUAAAUUUACAAUACAUUGACAAAUUCUGUUAUUAUUAAUUUAUUAAUCAGGCUACUGGAGAAAACAUUAGGAGGGAGGUAGUAAUUUGCCAAAGGGGAAAUGGUCGCUACUCCAAUUCAGUAUCAUGACUUAUGUUAACCAAAAUUCCCUGCUUGGAGUUGUAAGAAAAGGUAAUGAUUGAAUGAUGAAUCAAUUGAAUCAGUUAUAACAAUGUAAUAUUUAAAAAAAAAUUAAAAAUAAACUUAAAUUUUCUCUGGGAGCUCUGUAGAAGGGUUUGGUGUUAAGCCUGGGUAUUGGCUAUAUUUUCUUGAGGUUAUUUGCCCAAAAAUUGGUUUACCAUCAUCUUGCAAAGAUUCUAUCAAAUCAAUUUUCAUCGAUAGGGUCGAUAGGGAAAAAAUGUUAAUGCAAUUCAUCUUUAAAAAAAUAAUUAUUGCAUUUAUUCCGUUGAUAGCUUUAUAAGUCGCAUUUUUAUGUUCGUGUUCCGACUCUUGUGUGAGAGUCGCACGUGAGUUUUUAGAGGGUAUCCUCAUCAUCAUCAUUUUUAUCGUUACUUGAAUUGACUUCGUCUUCUGUGAUUUAUUUUUAGAUUUUAUCCUCUGAUGUGCACUUCCCAUCUUUUUAAAUUUUUCGCAUAGCUGGGAGUUCCU
rnacentral:lncRNA from 1 species